GUGCUUGUAGCUCAACGGUCAGAGCACUGCUCUGUGGCAGCAGUGACGAGGGUUCGACUCCCUUCAAGCACCCCA
rnacentral:tRNA from 1 species